rnacentral:tRNA from 1 species
GCCCGGAUGGUGGAACAGGUAGACACAAGGGACUUAAAAUCCCUCGCUAGCAAUGGCGUGCCGGUUCGAUUCCGGCUCCGGGCACCA